CAGGUCGGCCAGGCGGUCGCGCCCUGCAAAGCAGGGCGAGGAAAGUCCGGGCUCCACAGGGCAUGGUGCUGGGUAACGCCCAGGCGGGGUAACCCGACGGAUCGGGCCACAGAAACAGACCGCCCGGCGAGAGCCGGGUAAGGGUGAAAAGGUGGUGUAAGAGACCACCGGCGCCCGUGGCGACACGGGCGGCCAGGCAACCCCCACCAGGAGCAAGGCCAAGCAGCGGCGAGGUGCGGCCCGCACCGUUCGAGCCGCGGGUAGGCCGCUCGAGGCGGCGGGCAACCGCCGUCCCAGAUAGAUGACCGUCCGCGACAGAACCCGGCUUAUCGGCCGGCCUGGGGG
rnacentral:RNase_P_RNA from 1 species